rnacentral:rRNA from 1 species
GAUGAACGCUGGCGGCGUGCCUAAUACAUGCAAGUCGAGCGAACAGACGAGGAGCUUGCUCCUCUGACGUUAGCGGCGGACGGGUGAGUAACACGUGGAUAACCUACCUAUAAGACUGGGAUAACUUCGGGAAACCGGCGCUAAUACCGGAUAAUAUAUUGAACCGCAUGGUUCAAUAGUGAAAGACGGUUUUGCUGUAACUUAUAGAUGGAUCCGUGCCGCAUUAGCUAGUUGGUAAGGUAACGGCUUACCAAGGCGACGAUGCGUAGCCGACCUAAGAGGGUGAUCGGCCACACUGGAACUGAGACACGGUCCAGACUCCUACGGGAGGCAGCAGUAGGGAAUCUUCCGCAAUGGGCGAAAGCCUGACGGAGCAACGCCGCGUGAGUGAUGAAGGUCUUCGGAUCGUAAAACUCUGUUAUUAGGGAAGAACAAAUGUGUAAGUAACUAUGCACGUCUUGACGGUACCUAAUCAGAAAGCCACGGCUAACUACGUG